rnacentral:rRNA from 1 species
GACGAACGCUGGCGGCGUGCUUAACACAUGCAAGUCGAACGGUGAAAGCGGAGCUUGCUCCGCUGGAUCAGUGGCGAAAGGGUGAGUAACACGUGGGCAACCUGCCCCUGACUUCGGGAUAACUCCUCGAAAGAGGUGCUAAUACCGGAAACGAAUCCUGCAGGCAUAUGCGGGAUUGGAAAGUUUUUCGGUCAGGGAUGGGCCCGCGGCCUAUCAGCUUGUUGGUGAGGUAGUGGCUCACCAAGGCGACGACGGGUAGCGCGGCCUGAGAGGGCGACCGGCCACACUGGGACUGAGACACGGCCCAGACUCCUACGGGAGGCAGCAGUGGGUAAUAUUGCGCAAUGGGCGAAAGCCUGACGCAGCAACGCCGCGUGAGGGAUGACGGCCUUCGGGUUGUAAACCUCUUUCAGCAGGGAAGAAGCGAAAGUGACGGUACCUGCAGAAGAAGCACCGGCUAACUACGUGCCAGCCGCCGCGGUAA